GUUCCUUUGGUGUAGUGGUUAUCACGUGCGCUUUACAAGCGCAAGAUCCUCGGUUCGAUCUCGAGCGGAAACA